ensembl:lncRNA
GGCCAUUGGGGUCUUUUGCUUGUUCUGAAAUGCAUGCCAGAAUUUUCUUGACCACAUCAGUCUAUAAUUUUUAUUAUUAUUAUUAUUAUUAUUAUUAUUAUUAUUAUUAUUAUUAUUAUUACUAUUUUUUUUCAGAUUUUACGUUCAUUUUUAUUUCGAUUAGAGAGUAUGGUCUUAAAUAGGAAAGAACAAUGAGAAAGUCGCAGGAAUCGUUGUUUUGAAGUCAAGUGACAUUGAGGUGCACAUUUCUAUCUGUGAUGUGAUGUAUUUUCAUAGAAACCGGACAUAAACAUUGUACGGGGAUUAAUCUGUGAGGGACUGAUUAGAUGCUGAAAAGGUGUCUGUAUGAUGGUGGUUGGGAAUAAAAGAAAUCGAUGCCGGAAGCUGAAAAGAAAUGUUGUUUGAGCAAGUUUGAUGAAAGAUUACGAAGACUAACAUGCACUGAUGAAUCGCUUAUAGUAAGAGCAGAAACACGAAUCAAGAAAGUAAUAAAGUCAAUUUCGUAUGAAUCUGUACGAUAUGAUUCGUACAUACAUAUACAAGUUACCAAAUAGAAGUAAACAUACAAGUCCACCUCUAAACUGCCUCUAAAGUGGGCAGAUUGUACAAAUUCACAUAAAUUAGCCACCAGUUAACCAAAACAUAAAAUAGUGACAAACUGACAUGAGAGUGUUUUGUGAGUUUUUGGAUGUGUGUCUUAGAUUAGUGGACACGUACGAUGGUAUUUUUUUGAAGCACUUUGGAGUAAAAUAGCAUUUUAGGCUACAAUAUAAAUAUGGUAACCACCUAGUAGCUAAGACCUUUAGUCUUGCCACUGAUGCCAUCACUGUACCAUGGUACGGCCACAGUACUCUGUUAGUCCGCUAGUAAGUGUUUGGUUGGAAACGUUGAGGUGGACUCAUGGUGAUGGUGACGUUUGUCGUUUUAAAUGGCUGUUCCUUGAGCUUUAGCUCUGGUUUGAAGUGUACUUAAAGCCAUGGUGUGAUCUAAUGCUGAACCAUAGUGACUUGUACACAGAGUAAAACAGUAUGUGUGGACAUGCCUGAGUGUGCGUGCAGUGCUUUAACUUUAAAUCACAAUAAGGGAAUACGUGCAAGUUUGUUCAGAAGAAUGACGCUUCAAAGCGCUCGUGUCAAAUUCACUUUGCUGAUAAACCAGCCCCUUCACUGCCAACAGGGUUUAGCCAUGUUAUUAACACAUUAGCUCCAAGAGCUCUUCCAAUUGGCAAGCCAUUGGGAUUAGCAGGUUAGCGUAGCUGCAAUGUUUAAAUAGAAGAUUCGAUAUAGAGCGCUCAAAAAAAAAAAAAAUACAGAAAUCACUGCGUUUUUUUGCAAUUUUUUUUUUAACACGAUUGCUAACACUUGCCAAUAACAACAUAGACCAAAACUUCACAACUGCAAAUGCAUUGUAACAAUCAUGUUCAGCAAAACACUGCCCUGAAAAUCACAGUAAAAUGGAAUAGGCUAAUCAACGUUAAUUGGAGAGUUCACCCAGUGUUCGUAGAGAUUCUCAAAUCACAAUUUUUUUUUUUUUUUGAGAAGUUUUCUGUUGUUCAUGACAGAAUGUUGGCUUUAAUGGGUUGUGUAAGUGGGAAACAUGGUGUUUUUCUUCUUUCUUUUUAAUGGAAAUUUUAUGUUGCUAUCAUUGUUGGAAUAUUGAUAUUGUGUUCAGCGUAAAGACUGCAAGAUCACCCCAGAUUCACUGGAGCCUUUACCAAAAAUACAAAUAGAUGGAAUCAUUUUUUUUUUUUUUUUUAUGGGGAAAGGAAUGGAUAAGGUCAUGGUGCGUGUUGGGACGGUGUGAAUGUAAAUGUGUGUCCAUUUACUUUUUUAUUUUUAACUCUCCUCAAUGAAACACUUUUUAAUUUUCUGUGAAGUAGAUUUGCGUCUCAAUGUCCUCAUGGGUUAGAUAUCAGUGUGCUAGUUCUUGUGUAACUUUUUUAGCGUUAGCACUAAAAAAGGAAAUAAUGUAAUUAACAAAAAUAAUAAUAAUAAUAACAAAUGUUAUGAAUAACAGAAUGCAAUCAAAAUUAAUUGUGUGGCUAAUUUCUCUGUGUAAAACUGAACAACUGGAAAAAAGUAAUUAAAGGGAUC